GCAAGUCGAACGGUAACAGCUCCCUCGGGAGGCUGACGAGUGGCGGACGGGUGAGUAAUGCAUAGGAAUCUGCCCAGUAGCGGGGGAUAACGCAGGGAAACUUGCGCUAAUACCGCAUACGCCCUACGGGGGAAAGCAGGGGAUCUUCGGACCUUGCACUAUUGGAUGAGCCUAUGUCGGAUUAGCUUGUUGGUGGGGUAAUGGCCUACCAAGGCUGCGAUCCGUAACUGGUCUGAGAGGACGACC
rnacentral:rRNA from 1 species